rnacentral:rRNA from 1 species
GAUGAACGCUGGCGGCGUGCCUAAUACAUGCAAGUCGAGCGAACAGAUGAGAAGCUUGCUUCUCUGAUGUUAGCGGCGGACGGGUGAGUAACACGUGGGUAACCUACCUAUAAGACUGGGAUAACUCCGGGAAACCGGGGCUAAUACCGGAUAAUAUUUUGAACCGCAUGGUUCAAUAGUGAAAGACGGUUUCGGCUGUCACUUAUAGAUGGACCCGCGCCGUAUUAGCUAGUUGGUAAGGUAAUGGCUUACCAAGGCGACGAUACGCAGCCGACCUGAGAGGGUGAUCGGCCACACUGGGACUGAGACACGGUCCAGACUCCUACGGGAGGCAGCAGUAGGGAAUCUUCCGCAAUGGGCGAAAGCCUGACGGAGCAACGCCGCGUGAGUGAUGAAGGUCUUCGGAUCGUAAAACUCUGUUGUUAGGGAAGAACAAAUUUGUUAGUAACUGAACAAGUCUUGACGGUACCUAACCAGAAAGCCACGGCUAACUACGUGCCAGCAGCCGCCGUAA